rnacentral:rRNA from 1 species
GACGAACGCUGGCGGCGUGCUUAACACAUGCAAGUCGAACGAGUGGCGAACGGGUGAGUAAUACGUGAGUAACCUGCCCUCUUUUUGGGAUAAGCCUUGGAAACGGGGUCUAAUACCGGAUAAAGGGGGGUGGGCUCGCGGCCUGUAAGCUGGUUGGGGGGGUGAUGGCCUACCAAGGCGGUGACGGGUUGCCGGCCUGAGAGGGUGACCGGGAACUGUGAGACGGUGAUACGGCCCAGAGUCGUCCGGGAUGGAGCAGUGGGGGAUAUUGGACAAUGGGUGAAAGCCUGAUGCAGCGAGGCCGCGGGGGGGAUUAAGGCUUUCGGGUUGUAAAAGUUGUUCGCUAGCGAAGGGGUAGGUGGAGAAGAAGCACCGGCUAACUACGUGCCAGCAGCCGCGGUAAUAC